rnacentral:rRNA from 1 species
UACGAAGGGGGCGAGCGUUGUUCGGAAUUACUGGGCGUAAAGCGCACGUAGGCGGAUCGAUCAGUCAGGGGUGAAAUCCCAGAGCUCAACUCUGGAACUGCCUUUGAUACUGUCGAUCUGGAGUAUGGAAGAGGUGAGUGGAAUUCCGAGUGUAGAGGUGAAAUUCGUAGAUAUUCGGAGGAACACCAGUGGCGAAGGCGGCUCACUGGUCCAUUACUGACGCUCAUGCACGAAAGCGUGGGGAGCAAACAGG